GCGGCGAACGGGUGAGUAACACGUGAGUAAUCUGCCCCUGGCUUCGGGAUAGCCACCGGAAACGGUGAUUAAUACCGGAUAUGACAUGGACUCGCAUGGGUUUGUGUGGAAAGUUUUUCGGCCAGGGAUGUGCUCGCGGCCUAUCAGCUUGAUGGUGAGGUAAUGGCUCACCAUGGCUUCGACGGGUAGCCGGCCUGAGAGGGUGACCGGCCACACUGGGACUGAGACACGGCCCAGACUCCUACGGGAGGCAGCAGUGGGGAAUAUUGGACAAUGGGCGGAAGCCUGAUCCAGCAACGCCGCGUGAGGGAUGACGGCCUUCGGGUUGUAAACCUCUUUCAGUACCGACGAAGCGCAAGUGACGGUAGGUACAGAAGAAGCACCGGCCAACUACGUGCCAGCAGCCGCGGUAAUACGUAGGGUGCGAGCGUUGUCCGGAAUUAUUGGGCGUAAAGGGCUCGUAGGCGGUUUGUCGCGUCGGGAGUGAAAACGCCGUGCUUAACACGGCGCUUGCUUCCGAUACGGGCAGACUAGAGGUAUUCAGGGGAGAACGGAAUUCCUGGUGUAGCGGUGAAAUGCGCAGAUAUC
rnacentral:rRNA from 1 species